rnacentral:lncRNA from 1 species
GGUACAUGAGGGCCAAGACCAGAUGGGUGAGGUCGCAUUGAGUCAUUUCCGCCAAAAUAGACGAUCACCAGGGAUGGUUGUGUGGCUGCAUCCUAGCAUUGAGGUAGUUACAGAAAUUUAGCUGCAGAUUCUUUAUUAAUUGACACUAGACCAAAAAAAUAAGAAACGUUGAUGAUCACGAGAUGUGAUCUUAAGAACAUAAACUAGACAUCCUCCACAAACAAUUGCUGCUAAAGCUUUUCAGCAUGCAGCCCCAUCUGGAUACAAUGCCGAUGAGCAAACGAUGUAUCUACAAGCAAAAUGCCGAAAAUGUAUAACUUCAAGAAGGGCAGAAAAUUAUUAAGAGCCCAAGGAUUUGAGCGAUACCUUUGGAAACACUUUUUCCAGGACUUCAAGUGCGAGCCUCGAGUUCCAUCCGGAGUACCCCCUCAAGAUUAUGUCUGCCUGCACAAUUCACGGCUUCUCUAGUAUUCCAGACAACCAAAUGAAAUAAGGGUCGAAAACUGAGUUCCAAACUGGAAAAUUUUCACCAUUGCUUCAGUUCUUUGAUUUCUUCUGUUACUUUUUCAGUCGGUAUUACGGUUGGCUUUUGACUUACGGCAAUUCUCUGAGUCUAUCUACAAUCAUUCAUAGCUGGUUUCUUUUUUUCCCAACCUUCUGUUUGGCAAGUUAACAAUUUCUUUUUGAGCAACAUUUUAACAAACUUUUAGGGAUCUAUCACAACAAUGAGGGUCAUGAAUGGCAGCUUUUCAACUCCAGAGUGCAAAAAUUCACCCAUUUUGACCAACAGGGUCCCACCACCAAUAUGCAAUUGGAUGUGGUAGCAAAGGAUCACGACCUUCAUGUUCCCACAUCAAUUGGGUCCAAAGUUCGAAACUUUUGACCAACAUUCAUGCCAUCUUCAGAAAAAAAGAAGAAGGUUCAUUUAUUUGAAUGAAAAAAAUAAAAAUAAAAAGUUAAUAGAAACAGGGUUAUAUCGUAAAAAUUCUUCUUUUUUUUUUUAUUUCGCAUUUAUCGUUGCAGAGUGACAAAUAUUCAUCGAAAAUCUGUGAAACAGAGGCCACAGCUCCUCCGACAGUUCUUUCCACCGCGAUCCCAUCGUCAACGGAGCAUGCCCAUGUAACCUUUUCUUGAUCUUCCAAUGUCGCUAAACGCAGCCUCCAAAAAUGGAAAGAAGAACAAAACAAAAACGAAGGAAAAGCAUAAAAAAGAAAAGGUGUGCCACGAUUUGGUCAAUCUCAAAACCGAGAUAAGAUCGAUGGACUUUUUUCCCCGGGGGUGCGCGGGUCCCGCCGCCACCGUCGCAGUGGGAUCGAUUCGGCCGUACUGAGGUAAGAAAGAAAGAAAUUGUGGUGGGAGGGAGGGAGCUUGAAGUGACCCACGUAGACAGGACGUCGGAAACUGCGCAGGAAUUCUGUCCCACGACGCGAGUUCGCGAUAACGUUGUAACUUUGUCCCUCGACCCAAAAAAGAAAAUUCGAGAAAGUACCGACCCCAGGCCAGACCCAUCAUUAAUCUCAUCCUUCAUCAUCCUUUCGGAUAGAAAAAGAAGAAAAAAAGAAGCAAGAAAGCAAGAACAAUGGAAAUGGAUACUGGACGAGGAGGAGGAGGACGAGGAGGAAGGGAGGAAGAAGAAGACCUUGCGGGCGUACAGGUCGGCGAGGGACGCACCCCAUCCUCCGUUGCCGAAGCUGAGCUGGACUAUCGACGAGCCGAACAGCACGAACUGCGCUCUCUCCGGUCCGACCAUUUCUCUCUGUUUCUCUCUCGUUCCCUGCUCUGCUCUGCUCUGGUUUCGAGAAUGACAAAAAAAGAAAUGCUUUGCGAGCACGCCACUUCGGCAGUCUAAAUAAAUUGCUUUUACUUUCGUUUGGUAUGCAUUAAUUGGUCCACACCGACAAGACUUUAUUAGUGUGGUACGCAUUCAUUUAAUAAAUGAGGUAUGGAAAAUGACACGAUUGAUACGACAAAGACACUGGGUUCAUAUAUAUAAUCGAGUGAGAAUAUUCUCACAAGGGUUUCUUUUUAUAAUAUAUUUGGUUGGCGUCAAAGAACAACCUCACAUGUGAUAUUGCGUUACGACAUGACAAGAAUGCGCUUUAUUGUAUGUUAUUAAAUCGUGUUGGAAAUUAAUUGAUUCAUCCUGUUAGGUCAUCCACUAUUUGUAACAUUGACUUUAAAAAAAGGGUAGAGAGAAAGGAAAAUGAUGAUGAAGAAUGGAAAAUAGACAUCGAUUUAUAGUGAACACUCAUUUGAUAGGCACUUUUAAAAUGCAUUUCCAAAAUUUCUUGUAUAAUAAAAAAAAAUAGGCGCACGAAGAAUGGUUCAUUGAAGUUUCUUAAGAGAUUCUUGCUCUAAACCCCUUGAACUUUGGCACUAUUACAUUAUAAGCUCUCAAAUAUUGCAAAAUUAUGGAUUACUCACAGAAGUUUUCACAUUAUUGCAUAGUAAGUCUCGAAUUUUGAAAAGUUACACGGUUGCUCUUUAAUCUUUGUCAUAGUUUUUAGUUGCUCCUUCUGCAUAGUCAUUUGGUGGAACCUAAAAAUGGAGUUACUUAUUUUCUUUAUCGAAAUUGCCUCUAUUACAUGUUUUAUGAAGUCAAGAAGAGAGAAAAGAUCCAUGGUUGAUGAGGUUUAGAAAAUUUAGAAAAGAUCAUUUCGGUCGAAGAAAAUGAGUUAGUCUAUUUUCAAGUAAUGCUUGCCUAAAUGUAUGUAUGAUGGACAAACAUAUAAUCAAUUAAUAUAGUGCCUUGAUUCCUAGACUACUCGGAUAAAUUUAUGCACUCUAUCAAAAAACCAAGAGAAAAUUGUCCAAAAUAUCCUAAAUCUAUCAUACAAUAGCCAAUUUAGUUAUAGAAUUUUUAUUUUGAUAAAUUUAAUCCAAAAUCUUUUGAUAAUUCAGCAAUAUAGUCAUUUUUGUCAAUUUUGACGGGAAAUUGCUAAAGUGAAUGCCGGUUGUUUGACACAAUCGAUGUUGAGGUCGUUUUGCAAUUUUUUUUGAAUUUUUUCUGCUUUUUUUUUUUUUCCUUUUCUUCUUUUAUUCUUAUUUCCCUCCACUGGCCCAUGGCCUCAGUGACGGUGUCAUAGCCUUUGCCUAUGGUUGGCAACCUCUGCCAACCAUUGCCAAGGCUGUGAACUAGCGGAGGAAAUAGGAAAAAAAGAAAAAGGAAACAAAGGAUACAAAAAGCAAAAGAAAAACACAAUUAGAAAAAUUUUAAAAUUUUGCAAAAAUUGCCCAUGUUAAUGAGACCAUGCCACAUAGGAUGGCCAAUGUCUAUAUUAGCAAUUUUCGAAAGAACUAUAUUGACAAAUUAUCAAAAAAGUUUGGAACUAAAUUGACCAAAUUAAAAAUUAUAUAUAUAAUAGGUUUAUGACAUUUUGAACAAUUAUCAUGAUAUUUUGACCCUCAUUUUCUCCAUUGAUAAUCGGUUCUCCGCCAAUCAACAUUUAAUUGCGUUGAUGUUGCAUUAGCCAGUAAGUUUCCAACAAUUUUUGUUUAACUGAUUUCUAUACCUUAAAUAGUCGGGUUCUUAUCACAUCGGUACAAGUUUAGGUGUUUUGGCAACACACUAAAAAGUAUGGGCUAGUUUAGAAUUCUCGAUGGUACAGUAAAUUUAAGUUAGUGUUGCAGUGGACAUAGUUUAGAAAUUUUUUUAUGUUAUUUAAUUAAAAAAAAACCUUUUUUAGGGAUAAAAAUGAUAAUCUUGAUGUACUUCAAUGUAAAAGUGGAGAAUGCGAAGUACGGUUCACUGAUUUUUUAUUUUUAUUUUUAUUUUUGGUAAAGGUAAUAAAUACGGUUCACUGAUUUUUUAUUUUUAUUUUUAUUUUUGGUAAAGGUAAUAAAUACGGUUCACUGAUUUUUUGUUGAGCAGGUCAUUGAUCAAAACAUGGCCCUAGGAACCAUUUAUAUCUUGAAAAUUGAGUGAAUAUACAUUGCAAUAUAUAUAUAUAUAUAUAUAUAUAUAUAUAUUUUUUUUUUUUUACGGUUGAUAAAGCAUAACUUGUGGAUAUAAAAAAUGGUUCACUCCUUGUGUUUGGUGGCAACACAUAUAAGAAAUUGCACCACAAGUGAUGAUUGUUAUAAAUGGUAUGCAAUCAAGUCAUAAAUCUUUUAAUCAAUUCAUUCAAAUCUAAUCCUUUUAUCAAAAUAUGCAAACGAGUCAUAAACCUGAGUUUUAUUAAGUUGAAGAUCAUGACAUACUUUUCAAAUUAUAAAGCGGAUUACAAAGGGAAAAAAUAUUAGAAUAGUCAUAAAUCUAUUGUAUUGAUGCCAAUUUAGUUCUAAAUAUUUUGACUUGAUGCAAAUUCAGUCAUUCUAGCUAAUUUUGGUCAAAUAUUGCUGAUGUAGAUGCUGGUUGGACGUGGCAUCAUCGAUGUUAAUGUGGACAAUUUUUAAUAAUAUUUGAAUAUUUUUUUGAUAUUUUGAUUUUUUUUCUCUCCUUUCUUCAUCCUUUUGCUGGUGACCGAUCACUAGCCACAGGCCAUGGCCGACUCUCACCCAGGUUGAAGCGACCUUCCUCAAGUGAAGACGACCCUUGGUGAGGGAAGCCCAUGUUGUUGGCCCUCGCCCAGGCGAAGGUGACCCUUGAUGAGGUUGCCUUGGCCUGGCCGAGGGCUAGCUUCGCCAAAUUUGGAGAGGAGAGUCCUCACUAGGGUUGCCCUUGCUAGGGCUACCCUCACCUAGGCUAGAUCUGGUAAGGCUAGCCCGCCUUGCCAUCGCCUGUGGCCAAUCACUGGCAAAAGGAAGAAGAAAUGAGAGAAAAAAAGAAAGAAAGAAUAAUAAUAAAAAAAUUGAAAAUUUAUUAAAAAUUGUCAACAUCAACAUUGGCGAUGCCACAUAAGCCGGCCUGUCUCCAUGUUAGUUAUAUCUAGCCAAAAUUAGCUAGAAAGACUGAAUUGGCUCCAAGUCAAAAGAUUUAUGACUAAAUUGACACCAUAAAUAAAUUUAGGAGUAAAUUGGCACAAAUACAAUAAAUUUAAGACCUUUUUGACACUUUUCCCGAUUAUAAAGUCUUCAUUAAUCUAUACUAACUAUGGAUGAAUGUCACGCUUCUAUUUUCAAUUUCAUUUCGGCUUUGAAAAAAUCACCCCUCUGUCUUAAACUCUCCAUCUUUAGAUGUGGGUGCUCUAAGUUCAAACAUUUCUAGACCUCUUAUUUACCUCACUUUUUUUUUUCAUGCUUUAAUAUGAGACUCCAACUCAACUUACACGUGAGGAGGGUGUUAGAAUAUUGAUAUAUUAAAUUACAUCUUCAUAUAAAUUUAAAUUUUUAGAAUAGUUGACAAUAUAUCCAUAAAAUCUCACAAAAAAUUAUAAAGAAGAAGUUGUUUGUAAUGGAUUAAAUGGGCAAAUUUGGGUUAUACAAGCCAAAGAAUUUGAUCUGAGCCAUCUUCUUAGUCCCCAUCCAUGUGGUUGAGCAAAAUCCUCAAGUGAUGGCUACAAGCUGAUUUGAUGCAGGCCUGUUUGGUUUAGUUUUGGGGAAAUACCCUUGGGAGAAUGCAAAUACCUUUGAGAUAAAGAGGUUUUCCGAAAUGCAAGACUGUUUGGUAAACAUAUAUUUGAAAAGCCCUUUAGUAUGACCAACUUAAGUUUUUUAGUUUUAGUAUUUUUAAAAUUGCAAAAAAGAAACAAUGACUAUAUAACUUUUUACAUUUUCAUGUUGAGAGUAAUUAAAACAUAUAUAUUAGUAAAUUUAUUUAAAAAUUAUAUUAAAAGAAUUUGAUUAUAGAUUAAAUGCAAAGCUCAACUUUUGGCCUAGGGGUUUUUAGGUUUGUUUUCAACUUUGAAUAUUUUUUUUUUAAAUUAUUGUAGUAUUAAUCAUCUUCAUUAAUUAAUGAUCAUUCUAGUGUAUUGAUAAAAAUUUGGGCUACUGAUUGUCAAAAGAUAAAAAUGGCAAAAAAAGAAGAAGAAGGUGAACCCAACAUUUGCAAAGGGCUUUUAUUAUUUAAAAAAAAAAACAUAAAAUCCGAUGAAACUCCAUCGCCGAUCAACGAUGGUUAGGGUGUGGGGAAGAUGAUCAGUUUAAAAAAAAAAAAGAAGUCAAUGGAUGAACAGUAGAGGUGGACUUGCAUUUCCGAAAUGCUAAAAGCCCAAAACAGGUCUCCAUGUGUUUUAAGCUUUCAGCAUUUUAAAGGCCAUCAUUUGGCCAAUGACAUCUCCAAAUGCUGAAUCAAGUACCUAAAUUUUUUCCCAAAGGACUUUCAGCCCUGAAAGCCCAUUGGGAAUGCUGAUCCAAACGGGGCUAAGUCAGAUAUCCAAGUUCAAAUUGCCCGUCAUGUCUCAACGGAUACCACCAAAUAUACUUGCUACUGCAAAUAUGUCAAUGUUGCCUUAUUUGUGUAUUUCAUCCAGCAUGUUACACCUCUGAACAAGUCUCGGCUUCAAGUUGCAAAACAUUCUCGUGAAAAGUGGCAAAUUAAGGUUGUCUCUCAUUUCAAGAACUUGAUUAGAAGAUCUUCUUUUGGUCCUUAAGUUUUGUCAUCUUGAGAAUAAGGUUUCCUGAGAGCAUUUUCUGUGUAGAGACAAAUCCAUAGCUGGAGGUUCACAUUGAAGGGAAGAUCGAAGCAUGAAAGACUCGGGCGGAUUAAGCUGUGACAUUUCUUGUUUCUCGUCUCUAGUGAGCUCUCUCACAUACAAAAAAAACUGAACUGUGCAAUUGCUGCCUUGAAGAUGGUGCUCUUUUCUUUUUUUUUGAGAGCUAGCGCUUCAUCUAAGUUUUGCAGCAGUUUUUCUAGUAGUAUAUAUGGUAAAACAAUUUUUUGGGUUGAUGAAGGUAUGAAACCUUGUAGCUGGCUGAGAAUGUCUUCAAUAAAUUUAAAGUGGGUAUAGAAUGCAAGUAUAAAGAAAAAUAUUGCAUAUACAACUAUAGAAGGCACAUCAUGGAAGGGAAUUGAGAAAUUAUUACAAAAAAGUUACCACUAUAUAGGUAGAUUUGUUUAGAAACUAUACACGUACAAUAUGAACUAAUUUCAUGAACAGACGAGGUAUUUUACGAAUCCAAACAUGAUUUACAAACUUUAAUUAGUAAUUGUAAUAAAAGGCAGAGAAUUACUACUGUUGACACCUAAUUUUGGAAAAAUAAAAUUGCAUUUUGAACAAAUAAAAGGAAAAAUGAAAAAAAAAUGGAGGAAGUCGAUUUGAUUGAUUAUGCAUGGAAAUUUGAAAUUCUGAUGGAUAUUCAGAUUUUGAUAAAAUGGAAGGAAUCGGUGCAAAAUCGAGCUGAUUGCAAAAUCAUGCUCCGAUUUGUAUCCUUGAUUUAAUGCAACAGAAGAUGGAAGUUUGAAAUAUGCCAUACAAAGCAGCUGUUCGGAAUCAGUAUAAAAGAGAGCUUUAUUUUUCGUAAUUAGGGGGCGAAAAAAAAUUAGGGUGAAUUCAAAAGAAUCUAGAGAGAAAAUUCUUGCGAUCAUCCAUCUUAGUCAAAGGGAAAACCCUUUUUCCCUCCUUUCUCUGACAAGAAAAAGUCAAAAAGAAAAUACAGUAGAGAGAAGAGACAGAGAGAGGAGACGUAGGAAGUGACGUGAGGGAGAGAAAAAAAGAAAGAAAAAAAAAGGAAACGCUACAGUGUCGUCUUCUCCAAAGGGGCCUCCCGAUCAUUCCAGGCGUGCCCGCGCCGUCCAGCGCGCUGGCCAGCGUGUAGGUGCGACCACCCCCGGCCUCAGCCGCAUCUCCGCCACCGCGCCUCUCCCCCGCCGGUGAUCCCUGCUACCCAAAUUGACGCCCACUGCCGCGCCUUUGCACCCACGACCUGCUGCUGCCCAGCCCGACGCCGGAGCUCCGAAGCCUGCCGCUCCUGACCUCGCUGCGCCACCGCGCCGCUUGCCUCAGCCCAGCACCCGACACCUUGCGGCCCCGCCUUGACUGCCCGUUGCAGCAACUUGCACUGACCCCCUCUGCUCCGCCUGCAGCUACACCACCGCCCAGUAGCUCGAGGCGCUGCUGCUGUUCUCCGCCAGGCAACCCAACGCCGUUGCCUCCUGCUCGCUUGUCACCGCGCCAGAGUGCUGCCCGAUUCGACGCACCCCUAUGCCGGAGCUUGACGCCGUCGCCGCCCAGCAGUCCGCGACGCCCCAACGCCAGCCGAGCCCCGCACCGCUGCCGACGUCGCCACCUAGCAACCCGCGGUCCAGCUCCACCUCCGCUCCGUUCGAACACCGCUGCCUUGCGACAACCAACGCCCGACACCCACGGUAGCCCAUCGUCCUACAAAUCGAGGCCACAAGCAACACCCGAGACAUUUACUCGCCGCACCACCGCUCGGAGUCCGACGCCGUGCGCCUCUGCAACCGGCGACCCACCCAUCGCUAAGUCCGGCCCGUUGCUCGCCUCCGCCUCAGAAUCCCGCUCACCAACGUUGCUGCAAGUCCCCUCCCCUCGUUUAGGUAGUUUAGUUUAUUUUUUUAUGUUAUUUUUAUUUUAUUUGAUAGCAUCUUUAAGUUUAGUUAUCUAAAUUGCAAUAUUGGAUGUUAAUAUUUGUGAAUUUAGUAUGCAUUAUCUGCAGGGAUUUUUAUUUGGAAUUAUUAUAAUUAUUAAUUUGAUCCGAAAGACAUUGGAUCAUUUUUUUAAUUAUUUUAAUUGUUGGGCUUUUUAGUGAGAUUUUAAUUGUUAAAUCACAAUAAUUAUUUAAUUUGGUUCGUAAGACUUCAGAUCAGAUUUGUAAUUAUUUUGAUCUCUUUGCUGUGAUAAUUAAGGUUAGAAUAACCAUUAAUUUGACCUGUGAGACGAUAGGUUAUUUUUUCGAUUAUUUUAAUCCUUCCUCGCUUGAUUUUGUUGAUAGUUUAGAUUUAAUAAUUACUUAUCUCUUAAAAAAAACUAAAAAAAUCAUAAAAUCAAAAAAAAAAAAAUCAGAAUUCUGUAUGAGCAUAUAGGUUUAGUAAAUCAAGCAUGUAGGUUUAGCAAAUUAGAAUUUUCUUAGGAUUACAUUUUUAGGAUUGCAUUUUUUAGGAAUAAGUUAGGGUUGAACCUAAAUAUUUUUUUUUGGGUUUUAGAUAAUGUUCGCAUAUUCUAAUUAUCUCAUUUUCCCAAAAAACAAAAAUAGUUUUCUAAGAUAGGACAGGGUUUAAGUCAAAUUAAUCCCUAGAAUAGAUUAGAAAAUUAUCCAUUUUUAGAUAGAUUAAUUAGGAUCUUUAUAAAUUCUGAAUAUCAAUAAAAAAAAAUCCAAAAAUACUAGGUGCAUGUUAACUAGUUUGCAUAAUAGGAUUAUUUAAUCAGAACUUGUUAAUUAGUGAAGUUAGGUCAUGAGGUGCAUAAUAAUUAGUUUGCAUAAUAGGCCCAUUUAAUUAAAAUUUGCAUAUUAAUAAGAUUAAUUCAUUUAGUUUAAAAAUGCAUUUUUAUAAGAGAAUUCUAAUUUUUAAGAAAAUCCAAAAAAAAAAAAAAAUGAUUGCUUGCUUUGUGUGAUGCAAUUUAUUUAUUUGAAUGUUUUAAUAAUGGAUGAGCACCCGUGUGGUCACCAUUUGCAUGAUAGUAAUAUAGCUUAAAAUAAAUCAAAGCUGCCUGAAAAAACAUUUUUGAAAUUAAAAAGAAAUGAUACUGAAAGGGCAUUAGAAAAUUCUAGUGUAACCAAGUCCCCGUACCCUUAGUCUCUGGUUCAUAGGAGUAAAAUAAAUCUCAAUUUAUUUUACUUAGGUGUCUAAUCGACCUACCAUAAACCGAUUAGUAGCGACUCCUAGAUAUUAAUCAUUUGCACGUUAAAUAAUUGAACAUUAAGUCGCGAUUUGGGUAUGGGCUUGGGAAAGCCCGAGCUAAGUUUUUUUAAAAAAAAAACUUAGUAGUCCAUUAACCUAGUUUUAGGUGGUGCACCCGAAAAACAGGUCGCGACAGCUUGGCGACUCCACUGGGGAAAUUGUGUUGAAAAACUUAGUGGACUUAGGCCAAUUUUCUUUUUAAAAUGUUUUUGUUUGGCAACGAGGAUCCCAGGUAUGUCCCUAACAUUUCUAAUGUGUUAAAUGUUCUUGCAGAUGGGAGGUAUAAGAGGAGUAGUCUAUGCUAACCUUUGUCUUGCAGGUUGGAGUGUGAGAUUAAUGAUUUAUUUUUCCAUGAUUAGAAGUGUUGUUUGCAUUUAAACUGUUGUGCAUGAUUUAUUGUUUUUAGCACUAUACUAUUGCACACACAACUUGUGGCCGGACCUGGGCUGCGAUAAGAUUUCUAGGACGGUGUUGAGAAGGAUACUUCCUCCAAAGCGAGACUGCUAUGUAGAGGUUGACCUUCUCUUCCCCGAAAGUUUUUUCAUGGUGUCGAAUAUGUUUGUCCAUAACCGCGAGACUGCGUGACUAUUGGACAUUCCAUUCGACUGAGCCAGAGUUAGGGGGACCUGACACGUUAAUGCGAGACUGCAACGGUCAGAUCAUCCUCUUAGCUCCACUUUGUUAAGCCAUUUAGAUAGAAAUCGAGCCUCACAUUUCAUGCGUGUGUCUAGGUGCUUGUCAUCCCUUCUGGUGAAAGUAAGUUGUCUAAAUUCUUACUUCGCAAUUUACUUACUUUAUUGCAAUUUUGUCGGUCCAUGACAAUAGGUCUCGUCGUCAGUCUUGUUUUAUAUGCUAUGGGGAGGACCGACGUACAAUUCAUUUCCACUCCGAAAAAAGAGCUCAAGAUGUGGCUGGAUCAGUUAGAUCAAGAUGGCCAGAGGUAUGUGAAGACUAGGAUUGCCCGACUUCUCCCACUAUUGGAGAUCAACAUCCACUCUAGUGUGAUACAAGCACUCCCCCACUUAUGGUGUCCACAAACUUCUACCUUCAUAUUUGGUGAGUACGAAUUGACUCCAACUCUUAAGGAAUAUAGUGUUGCCAUUGGAAUGCCCCUGUAAAAAGAACUUGUUAGACCACCUAUUGGUAUAGAUUCUAUUUCUAAAUUAUCACAGUUUUUAGAAAUCGAAGCCGAAAGAGUGAGGAAAGUUGUCAAAGCCAAUUGUUUUGCAUGCCCAUUUUUGUUUUUGGAAAAAUGUUUUGCAAAUCAAUCAAUGAUUUCAAAAGCUAGGAUCUUCAUGUUAGCAUUUUUCGGGCUAAUUGUUUUUCCUUAUCGAAGAAAUGCCAUUAAUCCUUCAAUUUCAUGGGUGGUUAAUCGUGUUUGUGACGGCUUAAAUUAUGUCAAUAUGGUUUUAGCUUAAACAUUUUUGUCAUUAAACCGUUUCAAACAAAAUGAAGAAAAGACCAUGCGUGCCCUCCCCAAACUUUUACAAAUAUGGUUUUUUAUCCCACAUAAGAGGAUUUGAGCACCUCAUGAAACAAUUUAAGAUUGAUGAUUUUAGGCAUCCCAUACAAAAAUUUGCGGUCUUAGAGCGUUUUUCUCCAAAUAAAUAGUACGCUCGUUGGAUUAAUUUUUUGAAAAAUCCUAAUCCUAAGGCAUUCCUAUGGCAUACUAAAUGGUUUUGAGUUGAGGAGGCUCGUUUCUCACAUAAGCAUGAUGAGCCCAUCCCGUUGUUGGGUCUUUCUGGUGCGACUUCUUAUUACCCAUAUAGGGUGGCCCGCCAGUACAAAGCUCUUCAGGAAGUUCCUCCACCACUCAAGAUAGAGAUGUUCCGGGUUCGUUUUGUUCGAACAGACUAUAACUACUUCAACGAGAUCCAGAUGAUCAUUGCCGCAUGGAAUGAAUGCCACCCAGAGAAGAUUUUGGUGCCCAAAAGACUGAAAGGGGAAGAGGAACUCCACCAUGCGUCGGCAUUCUACAUUCAACAACACCGGAUUCCUGCGACCUUGCGUCCAGUGGUGCCAGAUGUGACUGAGAAGCCCACUCAGCGAGCACAAAUUGAGCAUCUUAAGCGGAAAGUGGAAAUGAUUGAAGCGGAAAAUAAGAAGCUUCGCAAGGCGUUGAAAUCCUGAAAGCAUAUAAAAUGAGAUCUUUUGAAUUUUGAUUCUUAGUCCGAUGUCUAGGAAGUUUGAUUUCGAUUUUCAAUUCAAUGUUUUUAGUUCAAUGUUUAGGGACUUGAAUUUCAAUUCUUAGUUCAUUGUUUGGUUUAAUGUUUCUAGUGAAUUUUGAAUAAAAUCGGGCGAUUAGACCAUUGUCAUGGGCCAUUUUCUAUCCUAUCACUGGUUCUUACGUUCCCUCUUUCUUUAGGUAACAAUGGAUCCUCUGCGAUCUCCAGUUAUUACGCAAUCAAAGGCUAAAAUGGCUAACCAAAGUGAGAUGCGCGAUUGCAUGUCCUCCGUGGAAGAUCAACUCAAACAGUUAGCCGCUUCCAUGCAGCUUGUAACAACUCAACUUCAAUCCCUCCAAGUGAACCCGAUUCCUCCACCCGCUCUCCCCGAGAUAGUAGUCUCGAGGCAAGCAAAUAGGGCCUAAAUGAGUGAUGAUGAAAUGCCCGAGCUGGAAGAUGACAUGGUUCCCAAGACAGAUUAGGAUGAGCGCGUUGCGAAGCUGGAAGAGAAAGUGAGACAGCUACAGGAGUCUCAAAACUCACUCCCGUUUGACCUCUCGGUCUAUGAGAAGGUUAAAAUGCCGAGCAAGUUCAAAAUGCCGGAGUUCGAGAAGUAUGACGGGACAUCUUGUCCAAAGUCUCAUUUGCAGAUGUACCACGUGCGCAUGGCCCAGUACGUAAAAAAUGAGCCUCUUAUGAUCCAGUCGUUUCAUGCAAGUUUGACCGGGCCCGCACUAAACUGGUACGUGAUGAAGAACAUAAACCUCCUCGAAACCUGGAACGAAGUGGCGGACGCAUUCCUCAAACAAUACAAGUUCAACAUGGACAUCGCGCCUUCCCGAGAAGACCUGAAGCGGAUGGAAAAGAAAAGGAGUGAGUCAUUUAAAGAAUAUGCUGUGAGAUGGAGAAACUUGGCGGCUCAAAUUACUCCUGAGCCUACCAACAAGGAGUUGAUGAAGUUGUUCGUAAAGACCCUUCCAUCUGAGUUCCGUAAUCGAAUGGCCAGUACGUAUGUUGAGAGCUUCAAUCAACUUAUUCCUGUAGGAGAACAUAUCGAGAUGGGGAUAAGGGAAUGAUGGUUUUCUGAGCCAUCUACUAAAAGGUUCUUUGCCAAGAAGGAGAAAGAAGCAGCCGUGGAUGUGAAUGUGGCUUAUAGCCAAGAAAGUGCCAAACGUGCCUCGGCUAUACAGGUGAACCCAAGACAGCAACAACUCGCUGCCCGUCAAUCAUUCGCCCAAGCAAAUAAUAGAAAGCAGUUCUCCCCUCUCCCCGGGUCUCCAUCCCAAGUGUUGACAGUCCUCCGAAAGAAGGGUUUGCUCACUAGUGAACCGAAGCGCCCUAACCGUGAAGGCAUUCGUGGUUACGACCCGACGAAGAAGUGUGACUACCAUAACGGUGAAUUGGGGCAUUCAACUGAUGAAUGUUUCACCCUCAAGCACAAGAUCCAGAAUCUCCUUGAUACAAAGGCCUUUUCAUUUCAGACUGCUUAGCCAAACGUUCAAAAAAAUCCGCUACCAGAACAUGAGGGUACAGUGAACGCUAUCCUGGAACCUAAAGUCGGACGGAUAAGGAAUUUAAAGGUGCAUGUGGCAGAUGCAUACAACGGGUUAGUAAGAGCUGGGUAUUACCGAGGUCAAGAAGAUGUCCCUCUAUUAGAGAUGAGAGAAAGAGUUGCUAAAAUGGUGGAUGAUGGCAUCAUUGUGUAUGCUGAUCGUAACUGCAUAGUUUCUACUAUCUCCCACCUUAUCAUCGAUUGGGAGGAGGAAUAGGCUACACUCGAUGCUGACAAGAAAGAGGUUGAUCCUUCGCUUGUAGACAUGCCCCCAUUAGAGGAUGCAUCUGGCGAAGAGAUAGUAAUAGAGGUGCCUUAGCCGUAUGAGUAUGUCAAUGAUAAGGCGGUGCCUUGGUCCUAUGACCUAGAUGUGGACCUUGUAACAAGGUCUGGUCGGACCUAUGGUCAAGCCAGUGCUCAACCUGCAAAGCCGGUCACCGAUGAAGAAGCUAAAGAGUUCCUGGCCGUAAUCAAAGCAAGCGAGUAUAACGUGGUUGACCAACUACGAAAGAUGUCCGCUCAAAUCUCCUUACUUGAGCUCCUGAUGACGUCCCCCAUGCAUCAAAAGUCGCUAAUGAAGGUGUUGAGUGAAAUUCGUGUGCUAGAGACCGUGGAAGCAGACAAGCUGGAAGAAUUUGUGGGAUCGGUCCUUCUUAAGGAUUUGAUUGCCUUCUCUGAUGAGGAAUUCCCUCUUGAAGGCAGGGGACAUAACAAAGCACUCUACAUAUCUGUUAAACACAAGUCUUCCCAUGUGUCCCGUGUGCUCAUCGAUAAUGGGUCUGCUCUAAACAUUUGUCCGUUGGCCACUCUCCACCGCCUCAAGGUAGACCCGUCGAGGAUACAUGCCGCGAAGACUUCAGUGCGAGCUUUCGAUGGAACAAAAAAGGAGGUGAUCGGAGAAAUCCAUCUUGAUGAACAAAUAGGGCCAGUCGUCUUCAACAUUCCCUUCCAAGUGCUGGACAUCCCUACUGCAUUCAAUUUCUUGCUAGGUCGUCCCUGGAUACAUACUGCUAGGGCAGUUCCUUCAAGUCUACAUCAAGCUGUGAAAUUUGUGAUCGAAAGGAAGUUGGUUACCGUGUAUGGUGAGGAAGACCACUGAAUCUAUCAUGAGACGGCUAUCCCCUAUGUAGAGCCGGAUUCCCAGGUUGAAUCAAGUUACCAUUCAUUCGAAUUGGUGUCCACCAUACAUGCUUCUUAGGGUUCAUCACCGCCUACCCCUGAAGUAUCAGAUGCUACUCUCAUGGUGGGAAGAGUAAUGGUCGGGAAUGGUUUCGUCCCUAGCAAUGGUCUUGGGAGAAAUGGUCAGGGCAUUCGAAGCCCCAUUGAAGCCCCUCAGAGGUCCCGUUCUGCUGGUUUAGGAUACCAUGGACGAGGUGGAGGAAGUUCUGAAGGACGAAGACAAGAGAGGCGGAGUUCGCCCCCUGACCAAGGGCGAGAGAGGCAAAACCCACUACCCCCAAGCAUUCACGAGACAUUCCCUAGUCCUCCAAGAAUGAUGCAUGAAGAAGCGGAAGUGAUAGACACUUUGGGGCAGCCUAGUGGCAAGUUUGAUUACUUGGUGAAGUAUUCAACCCCUCCUAGCUACUACAUUGAUCCUAGUGAGAUAGUCCUAGAUGGAUGGGGUGGCAUGGAUGAUCCGACACCCCCGAAAGCAGAGAACCCUAAUGAUGAGCUGGAAGGAGUUGCAAGCUUAUUCGACAACCUCAUCAUAGGAGCCAUUAAUGAAGGACCCCCUGAAGAGAUGGGCCUUGGCCCACAAGAGUAACUCUUUUAUUACUUUUGCACAUUCCCCUGCGUGGGAAUUUUUAUUAUUUUCUGAAUGAUGUUUUCAUUUUCUUCUUUUAUCGAUUGAGUGUUGCAUUUUCUCCAUGCAAUAAAUGUAAUUGAUUAAUGAAUUUCAAUGGAAUUACAAAUUUUAUUUUGAGGGCAUGAUGAGGUACACCAAACCAGCCCGGUGAUGAUAUCCAGCCGAUAAAACAAAAGAAAAAUCCAAGGAGAACUCUGAGGCCUGGUCUUCAUCAUGCUUCCUCGUGUCAAAAUGUUUAAAAAAAUGCUUUUGCAAAAGAAUUUCAAAAAAAAAAUUCACAAAAAAUAAAAUAUGAUUAACCCUGUUUGUCUUUUUGAUCCUUUUAUUUCAUGUUUCAGGGACGAUCAUAUAACAUGCCAAGGUGUGAAAAUGGUCCAAUCCAAUGCAACAAGUGAUGAUAAUGAUGAUCCUGAAGAUUCAAUCGAAGAUUCCAUUAAGGUGCAGCAAAGCUGGGAACAACAUGAAAAAGCCAAGACUCUCACAUCAGAGCAGACUAUCACUAUUAAUUUAAGUGACACUGAGCAAGCCAAUGAGGUGAAAAUAGAGGCGAAUCUCCCCAAAGAUGAGGUUAAGCGCCUAAUUCAGUUACUGAAGGAAUAUAAGGACAUCUUCGCAUGGACCUACGUUGACAUGCCUGGACUAGACCCGUCAAUCGUGGAGCAUUGCCUACCUACUAAUCCAAAUGUGCCACCUAAGAAGCAAAGGCUACGGAGGACUAAGCCCGAACUCUCAAAGAAGAUAGAGGAAGAGGUGAUGAAGCUUUUGAACGUGGGAUUUAUUGAAGUCUCACAAUACCCAGAAUGGGUGGCUAAUAUUGUGCCGGUGAUGAAGAAGGACGGUCGAGUUCGAGUUUGUGUUGAUUAUCGGGAUCUGAACAAGGCUAGUCCAAAAGAUGAUUUCCCAUUACCACACAUAGAUGUCCUUGUGAAUAGUACUGCUGGCUUUGAACUAAUCUCAUUUAUGGAUGGUUUUUCUGGGUACAAUCAGAUAAGGAUGAAGGAGGAAGAUAAUGAAAAGACUGCAUUUAUUACCCCGUGGGGAACCUUUCAUUAUAAAGUCAUGCCUUUCGGACUCAAGAAUGCAGGGACAACUUACCAGCGAGCCAUGGUUGCAUUAUUUCAUGAUAUGAUGCAUAAGGAGAUUGAAGUCUAUGUUGAUGAUAUGGUUAUAAAGACCCGACUAGGAAAAAGCCACAUCGAAACAUUGAAGAAGUUGUUCGAUCAACUUCGUGAGUUCAAGCUUCGUCUAAAUCCCGCUAAAUGCGUGUUCGGAGCAACAUCCGGUAAAUUACUCGGAUUUAUUGUGAGCAGUAAAGGGAUUGAGAUCGGCCCUUCCAAAGCUAAGGCCAUAUGUGAAUUGCAACCUCCAUCAACGGUGAAAGAAGUCCGGAGCCUUUUAGGGAGAUUGAAUUACAUAGCGAGGUUCAUUUCUCAACUCUCUGAAACUGCCAAGCCAUUCUUCAAGCUUCUAAAGAAGAAUGCACAAGUCAACUAGGAUGAUGAGUGUCGAGAAGCGUUCAACAAGCUGAAACAGUACUUGAUAAAUCCACCGGUUCUUGUCCCACCCUCACCGGGGCAUCCUUUGAUUCUCUACCUCACUAUUUAUAGUGAGUCAUUGGGCGCAAUGUUGGCUAAAAAAAGUCCUGUUGACAGAAAAGAACGGGCCAUUUAUUACCUCAGCAAGAAGUUCACUGUAUCAGAGUUGAAAUAUUCUGAGGUUGAAAAGACUUGUGUAGCAUUGGUGUGGGUGUUGCAUAGGUUGCGACAAUACACAUUACAUUAUCAGACAUUCCUCGUGACUGAGAACGACCCUAUCAAGUACUUACUUGAUUGGCCAGCUUUGGUGGGUAAGUUAGCCAAAUGGCAAAUCUUGAUUUCCGAAUUUGAUGUGCAAUUCAUGCCACAAAAGUCAGUUAAGGGCCGAGCGAUCGCUGAUCUAUUGGCCGAGAAUUCAGGAGUCCCUAAUGAUGAUGACACCUUCCUUGAUGACCAUGUCUUGAGUGUAAAUGAAGACUCAUGGAAGAUGUUCUUUGAUGGAGCUGUAAACCUAUCCGGUUCAGGUACUGGAGCAGUUUUGAUAUCUCCAGAUGGGCAACACCAUCCGGUAGCUGCAAAAUUGAUAUUUCCGUGCACUAACAAUGUGGCCGAGUAUGAAGCUUGCAUCCUCGGGCUUCAAGCCGCAAUUGAGAUGGGUGUGGCUAAGUUAAAAGUGUUCGGAGAUUCCGCACUAAUCAUACUGCAGACCGUGGGAGAAUGGAAGACUAAGGAUGCCAAGUUACUCCCAUAUCACAAGUAUUUAGAAAAUCUGGUGAAAGAAUUUGAGGAAGUUUCGUUUCAAUACUUGCUGAGGUCUCAUAAUCAAUUUACAGAUGCACUUGCAACGUUGUCCUCUAUGCUGCAAGUCACUGAUGGGUUGGAAGUUGAACCCCUGAAAAUAGAAGUUUUGCCGAAGCCAGCUUAUUGUAUGAUUGUGACUGAAGAACCUGAUGGAAAAUCAUGGUAUUACGAUAUCAUGAAUUACAUUAAGAAACAGGAAUUCCCCGAAUGAAGCACUCAGGCUGAUAGGAAGUAUAUCAUGAAGAUGGCUUCGAAAUUUUUCAUCAGUGGUGAGAAUUUGUAUAAGAGAUCUUACGAUUCUGUCUUGUUGCGAUGUAUAGAUGCAGUCGAAGCCACUCAAAUCAUGCAAGAAGUGCACGAAGGAGUAUGUGGCUCCCAUAUGAAUGGACAUAUGUUAGCCAAGAAGAUUACGAGGUUAGGCUACUACUGGCUCACACUGGAAAGUGACUGCAUCCGGCAUGUUCGGAUUUGUCACCGCUGCCAGAUUCAUGGAAAUAAGAUAAAUGUUCCUCCAAUUGAGCUGCAUCAGUUUUCAGAGCCAUGGCCUUUCUUGAUGUGGGGUAUUGAUGUGAUUGGCCCAAUCAAUCCCAAGGCUUCAAAUGGACAUCGAUUCAUUUUGGUGGUGAUAGACUAUUUCUCCAAAUGGAUCGAAGCUACAUCCUUUGCAAGUGUCACUGCUCGUAAUGUUGUGAAGUUUGUCAAACGUGACAUAAUUGCUCGCUAUGGUGUCCCUAAAGCAAUCAUCACUGAUAAUGGGACCAAUUUGAAUAACAAACUUGUUGAUGAGUUGUUCGGAGAAUUCAAAAUCAAGCAUCUGAAUUCGUCUCCUUACCACCCUCAAAUGAAUGGAGCUGUUGAAGCGGCCAAUAAGAACAUUAAGAAAAUUUUGGCUAAGACAGCCGUGAAUUUGAAGUGCCUUAGGAUGACGAAGAGCAGUUCUUUCUUUAUCCUACACACUUUUGACUAUUGCAUAGCCCACUUGAGCCUAUAAAUUCAUUUCAUGUCAAACCCAAUUGGUGAUCAUCACCCACACUGGGGCAAGAUGAAAGACAAUCAUUCAGGUAGCAUGGUCUAAAAUGAUCAUAAAAGAAGACUGUGUAAGUCCAUAGAGAAGAAGUGCAAAAUAAAGGCAUGAAAAAGCAGUGUGCCUGGUAAAAGCAAGGCCAAUGCCCAAAAAGAAAAAUCAAACACUUGUGUCGUAUCCCCUACAAGGUGGUACCAAAAAAAAAAAACUCUCAAAUGCUGUUGCAAUCAAUGGAGUUGUGAUAAAAAAUCUUUGACAGUGGAGAAGGAAAGUGGUGAAAAUGUCAAGAUGAUCACCAACUUUGACCCUCCCCUAAACACUUUUGAGCCUAAUGAUCCUUUCAUUUCUCAAUCCAUGAGCCAAGCCUACGUUACGUCCCUUGAAGUCUCUUCAGAUUAUGGCACUUAAAUUAACCUAGGGGUUCUCAUGUUUUAAGAUCACUCGAAGAAGUGCGAGCAAGAUUAUUCCUUUCUCAUUUUGUAGGGUUCUUGACUUGUAAACCUAGAGAUGAUUACAGAAUAUCACUCAUUCUUUCAAAAGCCUCGACUCAAAGAGUCCCUUUUGUUAAGCCGUUGACCAGGCCCACAUUACGAUCCCUAUUAAAGACCUCUUAGAUUGGUAGGGUCGUACCACUUGCGAGAUUGCACAAAACCUUGUUUAGCAUGAUGACAAUGAGAUAGAGUGAUUGUCAAAAUCCCGCGUCAAAUGUCAGGAUGAAACGACCAUUUUUAAUGAGGAUGAGUGUCGCGACCAAUUUUUUUCGAGUGUGAACCACCUAGGGUUUGGCUAAUGGAUUGUUAAGCCUAAACUUAACUCGGGCUCUCCCAAGCCCAUACCAAUUCACGACUUAGGUUCAAGUUCUUAACAUGCAAAUGGAUUUUAUUUAGGAGUCGCCACUAAUCUAUUUUUGGUGGGUCGAUUAGAAACCCAAGUAAAGUAACGGGAGAUUUACUUUACUUCUACGAACCAGAGAUUAUGAAUUCGGGGACUUGGUUACGCUAGACUUUUCUAACGCCCUUUCGGUACCUUUCUCUUUUAUUUCAAAGAAAAUGUUUUGCAGGCAGCUUAGAUUGAUUUUAAAUCUAAUUCUCUAACAUGCGAGGCGAUCAUGCGGGUGUGCAAUCCAUCAAUUUAACACCCAAGAAAGCAAAUAAAAAAAUGCAGGACUUACCUUGUAGCAACGAAAGCAUCUGCAAUGUUAAUUCAAAAUCCACAUCAACAACCCUGGAUAUGGUUUCUAAUUAACACGCAAUUUCUCUUCUUCUUUUUUUCACUUAAUUAACGAAAAUCAUGCAAUAUGCAAUGCAAUAUUAACUAAAUGACCUAACUCUAAUGACAUGUAACUCCUAGUUGAAUGGGCCUAGCAACAACUACCACAUGACAUGCAUUUUAAUGAAUCUAAUCCUAAUGAUGUGCAUGUGACAUUUUUCUUUUCUUUCUUUUCUUUCUUUUUCCUAAAAGAAUGCAAUCUAUCCUAGAAAAUAAAACUAAUUCAACUUAUGGCAUUUUUUGUAUUUUUCAUGAAAUUCGAAAUUAAGUGAAAUGUGAAAAUUACCUAAUUAGAUUAAGAUCCUAAUUAGUUUAUAUUAGGAAUUAGGUUGAGCCAAAUCUUAAUUUAAACCAAGAUAUUAUCUUAACUUAAUAGUCUCUAACCUAAGAUGCAAUUCAUCUAAAUCAAUCUAAACUUAAAAUGAAAUAUGCAAUCUUUUUGUCUUUUCGGGAUAAAUAAAGCAAUUAAAUGAUAAAACACCAAAUCAUUCGCAAUCACCAAAGAUACUAUCCAUCGCUCGAAUUUGAAAACGAUAUCUAGUCCAACUCGAUUAUUUCGCUAAUAAAAUCGAUAAAUUGAUCUUAAGCCUUAAAGAUCAAGCUAUCAAUUUUACUCCCGCGUGGUUAAUUAUUCCAUCUAAAGGCUUAUAGAUGGAAUAAAAAAUCGGUGUGCGGUUGUGAAUUGGGCAACAAAUCCUAACCGGAAAUACGUUCAUAAUUCAAAUAUGCAUGUAAGAUAUUGAAAAGCACGCGUUAGGCAAUAAAAUAUCCAAAUCAAAUUUAAAAUAAGAUAAUUACCUGAUUCCGCAAAUAAUGCUACCAAAUUUGAACCGAACGGAAUCCGCUCAAUGGGUGACAGCGGUGCGUGGUUGUGUUUGGCUAGAUGCGGAGAGGGGCAGCCAUGGGCGGAUGAUUAGUUUCCGCAAUGGGACUAGCGUGAAGGAUUCAUGGAUAACAGUUUGCAUCAAGACGGACGGUGACUGGCUCACGAACAAUGAACCUGCAAGAAUAGAAAGUUCGUAAAAUCAACUCGGUUCUGACACGAGCGGGAAUGGCAGCAUCGGGGCUUCGGACGAGUGCAGGAGCUCCGCCUAGGUUAUUGAAAGUGGAGACAAAAUCCACUAUUUCGAAGGAAGCAUGUUCAUGGGUCCUUGUGUCGAAUAUGAUAGUGAGUAAACAUCUUCAUGAUCUCCGCCUGCCCUUAUUUGGCCGAAUUGUGACCUUUUCUACCGGAACAUAUUACUUUCUUCAAGCUCAUCAAUCUUUUAGACCCGUGGUUUUUCUCAACUUUGUUCCCUUUUUGAAUUCGUGGGACGCCGCGGUUUUGUUGCUGGUCGUGGACAAAAGCACCGGUAAACCUGCAAAAGAGAGCGAGAACACAAGGAAUCGUCUAGGAUAUUAAUCCUGAUAAACUUGCCGAAAUUGCAACGGUUCAGCAAUAAACAACAACUCAGUGAAACGAGGCAAGGAUCGGCGUCGAUGUUGAGAAGGCCAACUGAGGGACUCUUGGACUGUUGUUCACAAGUAGCUGGAGUAGAUCACGGUUGGUGGUGGUGAAGAUCAGGACUGCGGCUCGUUCACUUGGUCCAAUACGGGAAGCGCUGUAGCUAGCAGGAGCACAGCGUCGCAGUGGGAGGAGUCGUGAAGCCGAGACCGCGAAGAAAAUACCUCGCUCUAGCCUCUAUUCUCUCUCUGGAUUAUUGUGUGCUCGGUGUUGACCAGGGAAGAGAGACAAAGCCCCCCUCCUAUUGGACGAAGCAAAGACUCCUCCUUUGUCUUCUUCUCCCUUUGCUUAUGGACGCUUGUUACUCUUUUUUUUUUUUUUUGCAAGAUGUUGACCAAAGACCACGAAGAUCUACUGGAGCAAUUAUUGAACACUUGGACUCCUUGAUGAUUGCCGUGGAAUUGGUAGCCCUGGCCACACGAGGAGUAGCGACAAUGACGUAGGCUCAACAGGAACGAAGCAACGAGCUGACGUAGAUCUCGUAGCCUUCUGGAGAUAUCAUGGCAAGGCCACCUUGUUGUCGGGAGGUAUGCGCGGCAAUGGAUUACCGUCUCGUGACGGCGAACAGCGACAGCCGAUGUGAAGCUCAGUGGCAAGGUCAGCAAGGUCGCAACCACAAGAGGCUCGACAUGUGAUGACUGGCUGAACGCUCCUCACCCCCUCUCAUGUUUUCUACAGCCGUGUCUUCUCAAUUGCGUGGCCAUAUGUGUCGAUAGGUGUGGCCCUCCCCAAACAAAUUGCACGUGAGGUAUUAUAUAGGUCUAAAAAAUAUAUCUCUACGGUAUAUAUUUUUUCCUUUUUAUUCGCGCAUGAUACCCCUAAAUAUAUCGUUGAAAUAUAUCCACCUCGGGCAAUAUUCCCCUUUUGUAUUUUUCACAUAUUCUAUCCAAAAUUUUCCUUUUUGCUCGAAAAUACAUCCUUUGGUGUAUAUUGCCUAAAAAUAUGAAAAGCUUGAACGGAAUAUGUGAAAAAUCUUCCCUUCACCGGCAGCCUAAAAUAAGAUAAAACAAAAUGAAAAUAAAAUGCUUCUAAACUAUAUGCCAUGUGGUUUUUUUUUUUUUAUAGUAAAAAUUAACCCAAAAAUUGUGCAAAAAUUUAGGUGUCAACAAUGAGUGUAAAGUCCUUUCAGAUUGAAAGAUCCUUCAUUUGACACAUCCAUAACGCUCAUGUGUUUAAAUUGGAAUAUCCUUUUGAAAUUCUUCCCAAUGGAAAUUAGGUAAUGCAAGAAUGAUAGAAAUCAUCACGCAUGAACCUCAUUUGAAUUAAUGCAUGUCUGUGAAUGCAUAUUGCUUUUCCUACAACUGUGUUUUGCAGGAAACGCAUCCUCAAGGAACAGAGAUGUCACCAGGUAAGUAUAUCUCUAUCCAUAUCUUAAAUACUUGUCAUUGUACAGGUAUUCCCUUUCAAGCAUUGGCACUUGAUGGAGUUCCCCCCAAAGAAUUUUCCUAGAUUCAUCAGGCGACCGUAGAAUGGUACGAGUCCUAAAAAAUAAACCUUAGUUUAGGCGACCGUAGAAUGGUACGGGUCCUAGACAACAUUCAGGCGAUCGUAGAAUGGUACGGGUCUUGGAAAAUAAAUCCCCGUUUAGGCGACCGUAGAAUGGUACGGGUCCUGGAAAACAGAUCCUCGUUUAGGCAACCGUAGAAUGGUACGGGUCCUAGACAACCUCAGUUCAAGCGACCGUAGAAUGGUACGGGUCCUGAAAAAUCAUUUUUUCGUCAAGGCGACCGUAGAAUGGUACGGGUCCUGAAAAAUAGAUCCCCGUUUAGGCGACCGUAGAAUGGUACGAGUCCUAGACAACCUCAAUUCAGGCGACCGUAGAAUGGUACGGGUCCUGGAAAAUCAUUUUUUUUUUCGUUUAGGCGACCGUAGAAUGGUACGGGUCCUAGACACAACCAAACAAUGCCAUACCAGGCGACCGUAAAAUGGUAUGGGUCCUAGGAAAGCAAUCACUUUGCGAAGUCAUGUUACUAUUCUGGGCGACCGUAGAAUGGUACGGGUCCUGGGAAUGUAACACCAAUCUAUCUUGAGUUACUCUACCAUCCUCGAAGGUAAGUAAUUUCAGGUAAGUUUCUUUGUCAUUUGCAUUAGCAUUUCCAUAUAUCAUAUAAAUUUCAUUUCAAAUUGGGAUUCAUUUUCCCGGAAAAAAAAAAAAAGUCAUUCAGUACAUGUGCAUGAUUAACAUUUAGGUCUCAACUUGUCUUUGAAGGCAACCUCUACGAGCUCACCUUCAAAGAGGGGCAGCUGUUGACACCUAAUUUUGGAAAAAUAAAAUUGCAUUUUGAACAAAUAAAAGGAAAAAUGAAAAAAAAAAUGGAGGAAAUCGAUUUGAUUGAUUAUGCAUGGAAAUUUGAAAUUCUGAUGGAUAUUCAGAUUUUGAUAAAUGCAGAAACAAUUAAAAAUCAGGUGAACAAUGGGUAAGGAUUUUGAUAAAAUGGAAGGAAUCGGUGCAAAAUCGAGCUGAUUGCAAAAUCAUGCUCCGAUUUGCAUCCUUGAUUUAAUGCAACAGAAGAUGGAAGUUUAAAAUAUGCCAUACAAAGCAGCUGUUCGGAAUCAGUAUAAAAGAGAGCUUUAUUUUUCGUAACCAGGGGGGCGAAAAAAAAUUAGGGUGAAUUCAAAAGAAUCUGGAGAGAAAAUUCUUGCGAUUGUCCAUCUUAGUCAAAGGGAAAACCCUUUUUCCCUCAUUUCUCUGACAAGAAAAAGUCAAAAAGAAAAUACAGCAGAGAGAAGAGACAGAGAGAGGAGACGUAGGAAGUGAUGUGAGGAAGAGAAAAAAAGAGGAAACGCUACAGUGUCGUCUUCUCCAAAGGGGCCUCCCGAUCAUUCCAGGCGUGCCUGCGCCGGCCAGCGCGCAGGCGCCACCACCCCCGGCCUCCGCCGCAUCUCCGCCACCGUGCCUCUCCCCCGCCGGUGAUCCCUGCUACCCGGAUUGACGCCCACUACCACGCCUCUGCACCCGCGACCUGCUGCUGCCCAGCUUGACGCCAGAGCUCCGAAGCCUGCCACUCUUGACCUCGCCGCGCCACCGCGCCGCUCGCCUCAGCCCAGCACCCGACAUCUUUGCGGCCCCGCCUUGACUGCCCGUUGCAGCAACCUGCACUAACCCCCUCUGCUCUGCCUGCAGCUACAGCACCGCCCAGUAGCUCGAGGCACUGUUGCUGUUCUCCGCUAGGCAACCCAACGCCGUUGCCUUCUGCUCGCUUGUCACCACGCCAGAGUGCUGCCCGAUUCAACGCACCCCUGCGCCGGAGCUCGACGCCAUCGCCGCCCAGCAGUCCGCGACGCCCCGACGCCAGCCGAGCCCCGCAUCGCUACCGACGUCGCCACCCAGCAACCCACGAUCCAGCUCCACCUCCGCUCCGUUCGAACACCGCUGCCUUGCGACAACCAACACCCGACACCCACGGUAGCCCAUCGUCCUACAAAUCGAGGCCACAAGCGACACCUGCGACAUUUACUCGCCGCACCACCGCUUGGAGUCUGACACUGUGCGCCUCUGCAACCGGCGACCCACCCGUCGCUAAGUCCGGGCCGUUGCUCGCCUCCGCCUCAGAAUCCCGCUCACCAACAUUGCUGCAAGUCCCCUCCCCUCGUUUAGGUAGUUUAAUUUAUUUUUUAUGUUAUUUUUAUUUUAUUUGAUAGCAUCUUUAAGUUUAGUUAUCUAAAUUGCAAUAUUGGAUGUUAAUAUUUGUGAAUUUAGUAUGCAUUAUCUGCAGGGAUUUUGUCUGGAAUUAUUAUAAUUAUUAAUUUGAUCCGAAAGACAUUGGAUCAUUUUUUAAUUAUUUUAAUUGUUGGGCUUUUUAGUGAGAUUUUAAUUGUUAAAUCACAAUAAUUAUUUAAUUUGGUCCGUAAGACUUCAGAUCAGAUUUGUAAUUAUUUUGAUCUCUUUGCUGUGAUAAUUAGGGUUAGAAUAACCGUUAAUUUGACCUGUGAGACGACAGGUUAUUUUUUCGAUUAUUUUAAUCCUUCCUCGCUUGAUUUUGUUGAUAGUUUAGAUUUAAUAAUUACUUAUCUCUUAAAAAAACUAAAAAAAUCAUAAAAUAAAAAAAAAUCAAAAUUCUGCAUGAGCAUAUAGGUUUAGUAAAUCAAGCAUGUAGGUUUAGCAAAUUAGAAUUUUCUUAGGAUUACAUUUUUAGGAUUGCAUUUUUUAGGAAUAAGUUAGGGUUGAACCUAAAUAUUUUUUUUUGGGUUUUAGAUAAUGUUCGCAUAUUCUAAUUAUCUCAUUUUCCCAAAAAAAAAAAAAUAGUUUUCUAAGAUAGGAUAGGGUUUAAGUCAAAUUAAUCCCUAGAAUAGAUUAGAAAAUUAUCCAUUUUUAGAUAGAUUAAUUAGGAUCUUUAUAAAUUCUGAAUUUCAAUAAAAAAAAUCCAAAAAUACUAGGUGCAUGUUAACUAGUUUGCAUAAUAGGAUUAUUUAAUCAGAACUUGUUAAUUAGUGAAGUUAGGUCAUGAGGUGCAUAAUAAUUAGUUUGCAUAAUAGGCCCAUUUAAUUAAAAUUUGCAUAUUAAUAAGAUUAAGUCAUUUAGUUUAAAAAUGCAUUUUUAUAAGAGAAUUCUAAUUUUUAAGAAAAUCCAAAAAAAAAUGAUUGCUUGCUUUGUGUGAUGCAAUUUAUUUAUUUGAAUGUUUUAAUAAUGGAUGAGUACCCGUGUGGUCACCAUUUGCAUGAUAGUAAUAUAGCUUAAAAUAAAUCAAAGCUGCCUGAAAAAACAUUUUUGAAAUUAAAAAGAAAUGAUACCGAAAGGGCAUUAGAAAAUUCUAGUGUAACCAAGUCCUCGUACCCUUAGUCUCUGGUUCGUAGGAGUAAAAUAAAUCUCCAUUUAUUUUACUUAGGUGUCUAAUCGACCUACCAUAAACCGAUUAGUGGCGACUCCUAGAUAUUAAUCAUUUGCAUGUUAAAUAAUUGAACAUUAAGUCGCGAUUUGGGUAUGGGCUUGGGAGAGCCCGAGCUAAGUUUUAAAAAAAAAAAACUUAGUAGUCCAUUAACGUAGUUUUAGGUGGUACACCCGAAAAACAGGUCGCGACAACUACUAUCGACGAACUUCUAUGUAGCAUGGAAUUUAUGAAAGCAAUAGGUUAUGUAUGAACAAAAAUUUGUUACAUACAAAAAGGUAACAUUCCAUGUAGAUUUUAUAUAAAAUUUUAAAAAUAACUAUCCUUAUGGUAAACUUCUUCAUUGAUCAUAAUUGUCCUUUAUACUUCCUAACAGUCUUCAAAUGAUAGUAAAUUUUGUAAUUCAUUGAUUGAGUUCAAGGAAGGGAAGAAGGUUGAUGUGGUAGCCACCAUCACCGAUGGUCCCCUUUACUACCCCACUUAGCCCUAUCAAGCCCUCGCAAGGUUACAUGACCCAAGCAACGUAUCGAGCGGGACACAUAUGUCAGUCAAACUAAAAACCCCUUAAAAGGAUGAUCAGUUCAUAGAUUGGUAGAUUUCAUAUUCCAUGUGUGAAAUCUACCUUAUUAUAGCCGUUUCCUAGAUUUGGAACUAAGAACUAAUCUUAUUGACCUUAGAAUCAACCCUCUAACUAAACUUGUCGGUCUGGGUAGGUUUCAAGGUCUACCCAAAAACCAAUUGAUUUUUUCCCCCUUUUUGGUGGUUUCCACUACAAUCUAUAGUGUACAAUAUCUCUGAGUGAGAAUUGUGGCUCGUACGUUGAUAAUAAAUUAGACAUAAUGAAGUUAUUAGUGUGGCGACCUCUUUUUUUUCGACGCCCGAUCGGGGCGAGCGCCUUCGGAGGCUGAUGGUUUGGCUAAAUUUAUUAGGCCUAGACUCUCCCAAGUCUGCCAAUUCACGACUUUAAUAGUCUAAAUUUUUAAUUUGUAAGUUAAUUUUUAAAACAAAGUCGCCACUAAUCAAUUUGAGGUGGGUCGAUUAGAAACCCAUGCGAAGUAUCGGGAGAAAUACUCGCUCCUGCGCAACUAGAGAACACUAGUUAAUUACUAAUGCCAUUUCGGUACCUAAUCUUGUUUAAACCCUAAGCUUUUUUGGAUUUUUUUAGGGAUUUUCCAUUCAUUUGUGGGAGGAAAAACAUUUUUUGAAUCUUUUUCUAAUUUUUUUGACAUAAAAGGGAUUUUUUUUUUUGGUAUUUUUGGAAAAAUACAAGUCUUUUGCUUUUUCAUGAAUUUUUGGCUUUUUUUGGAUUUUUGGCAUUUUUUGGAAUAUUUUUGAUUUUUUUUUAUUUUUGGAAAAUAAAAUAUUUUUUAACAUUUUUAAAUAUUUUUUGGUUUUCUAGAAAUUAAAAUAUUUUUUAAUAUUUUUCGAAAAUAAAUUAUAUUUUGGAUUUUUUUGGAAAAUAGAAUAUUUAUUUAUUAUUUAAAUAAAAUUUAAAAAGCCGACCCGGGUUGGAUCCGCGGGUUGGGUCUGACCCGGGUCGUUGACCCAAAACGCCUCGACCCGCUCUCUGACCCGGUUCACAGCCGCGACCCGAUUCGCGGAACCCUACCUGGACGCCUGCCCAGAUCCGCCCGACUUCGACCCGCCUUCCCCUUCGCCGACCCGAAUUUCUGGAGUUCACGAGAUCUGGCGAUUCGCGGCGUUGAUGAGGGACGGAGGGGGUCAGACAGACAGCAGCCCGGCGUCCGACGGCGGCGACGUCGCAGCCGACAGCCGGCCACUCAAUUGGAUUGACGACGGGGCUCGUGGCGCAGCAGUAGGAGACGCGAUGAAGGCCCCCGAUUUACUGAGGUCGAGAUCCGGAGAUUAAUGGGUUUCGAGAGAGGGGGGGUGCGACGAUGGCUACGCAACCGGAGGCGGCGGAUACCUGGUGGCAGCGAAUGGUGGUGGUGGCGAGGACAGGGCAGCGACGGCGGUCCCUCGACUCUUAGAUCCGAUGUGGCGUUGGCGGGUCAGUCGUGGCACGGCGUCGGGGCGAGGAACAGCAGCAGCAGAGCAGCGGUCGCAACGAUGGCGCUGAGCUUCCAGCUUCCCAGAUCUGGCAUGGUGCCCUCCGAUUCCUCUCUCGCUCAGCCUCCACCCGCUCGGAUCUCUCCCCCCCGGGCUCGCUUGCCGCCGGCCUCCCCCGAAGUCUCUCGGAGGGAGGUCGUUCGAGCUUCGCGACCCGAUCUCUUGCGUGCUCGCUCGUUGAUUCUCCCUGAAGUCUCUCUAAGGAAGAUCUCCGAGUUCGCCGUGUCCUUUGACGGAACUUGUGGCCUGCUAUUUAUAGGUGAGGGGGCGGCCGGUCGACGAAGCUUCGAUCGCCGGUCUUCGCGCACCGAACGGUCCUCCUCGGCUGAACCGGCGUCCCAUCCGAGCUUAUCCAGCGAAGCGUGCUCGGCAUUGAUGGCGCCUGAGAUCUUAUCCUCUCCGGCCGACGUCGGCCUACUCCCCUUGGCCGUAGGCCGUCCUUCGCGCGUCAGUGUCCUCUGUGCGCGUGAGCUGAAGAGGCGUAGGGGAAGAUGGAAGAAGGAAGAAGAAGAAGAAGAGAAGGGGCUGGGUUGGUUUGCGCGGGCCGGGCCAUGGGGCUUGUGUGAGAGAGAAAAGAGGGGAGGGGCUGCUUUUUUUUUUCUUUUUUUUUUCUUGCUUUUUUAUUUAUUAUUUAUUAUCCGAAAAAGGGAAAAAAUAAAUAUAUAAAAAAACUAAUUAAUUAAAAAAAAACGAAAUUUAGGGGUCAACAAUUAGUAUACAAGUAUAACUGGCAUACUUAAAACUUCAAUUGAUAUCUUAGAUUUGGAAAAACUUAGAAAACUAAACAAGCAUGAUGAAGUUGUAAUUAUCCCACUAUAAUCAUAAAGUCGUAAGUAUGCCACUAUAAUCAUCAAACUUAUUCCUUGCACUCCUAUUUGGAUUGGCGAUUUUUUUCUUUUGGGUGGUCUCCACUCUAAUUUGUAGUUGAUAAAAACUUUAGAUAAGAACAAUGGCUUGCACGCUGUUAACAAUUUAACGUAAUAAAGUUACAAGUAUAUAAGCAUAGUUGGCAUACUUAAAACUUCAAUUGAUAUUUCAAUUUUACAAAACUACAUCAGUAUGAUGAAGUUACAAAUAUUCCACUAUAAUCAUCAGUCUUAUUCAAUCCACCUCUUAUUAGGGUUGGUUUUUUUUUUGGUCAGACUUGUUAGGGUUGGGUAUUAGUUUUGAAACUGAGAACCUAUUAUGUUGACCCUAAAAUCGACCCUUGAACUUAACCUAUCAACCUAGGUCAUUUUCAAGGUUAACAUGGGAACCGACCGAUCUUCAUUCUUUUUGGUGGCGUUUACUACAAUUUGCAGCCAACAGCAAUUCUGGAUGAGAACUUUGGCUCGCACGCUGAUGACAAAUUAAACAUAAUGAAGUUAUAAGUUUUUAAAGUAUAGUUGGCACACGUAAAACUUCAAUUGAUUUCUCAAAUCUAGAGAAACUAUGAAGUUAUAAGUAUGGCACUAUAAUCAUCAGACUAUUUCGUCUACCCCUUGUCACGGUCGGUUCCAGUCUUGGAACUAAGAAAUGAUCCUAUUAACCGUAGAAUGAACCCUCAAACCGAACUUGCCGACUGAGGCCGAUUUUAGGGUCAAUCGAAGAAACUAUUGAUUUUUCUUUUCUUUUUGGUUGUUUCCUCUACAAUCUGCAGAAGACAACAAGUCUGAACGAGAACUAUGGCUCGCACACUGAUAACAAAUUAAACAUGAUGAAGUUAUAAGUAUACUUGACAUAUUUAAAACUUCAAUUGAUAUAUCAGAUUUGGAAUUUAGAAAAACUAUAUAAGUAUGAUAAUGCGUCGGUAUAUCUUUUCGCUUCUUGUUCAAAUCUAUUCAGCAGAGCAUGCACGGCGCAAGGAUGCAGGCGCAAAGCACUCCGGCCGCUCACAAAGCCAGUUCCUUCCCAUUCCAUUCCUCUAACGGCUAGCGUUAAACCUGAAAAAUUCAAUGGUCUCCAUGAGGAAAGGUUGGACAAAAAGCACAAGCAAACUGGUUUAGGCAAGCUGGUUCGGGUGAAGCAAAUGAUUUGACUGGUUCUAGAAUAAUCCAAGGCUCUUCCUUUGCUUGCCUUGUCUGAAAGCUACUAUUUGUGUUCAUUGUUCAUGAACUAAAAGGCAAAUCCUAUUGUGGCCUGAACUAGGGGGCAUCAGGCAUGUCAAAGCUGUGCCAGGUUCAUCAAAUGUAAAUUAUGGACAAAAUGCUUGGCGUCAAUCGUCAGUUUCUCCGUUCUUUGUGCUUAUUUCUUUAUGCUGGCCAAGAGAAUACAGAUCCAGGAAGGGGCACAGAUUAGGAGGACAAAAUACCACAUUGAAAAAAGUUGAAAUCGGUCUCUACUCCUUGCUCUCAAAGUGGUUCUCUAGUAUUUACUACAGGGUUACUUCUGUGGGAAUUGCUAUCCAACAGGUUCACGUUCGUCCUGCCAUUGGGACCUACCGGGUCAGUAAGGUGAAUCCUCCCCGAAUUCAGUGGGCAUCGACUCCCAAUAAAGACUCGGUCUCCAGUCAGCCUCUUUGAGAACUCUCAGUAUUUCCUCCACCACGAUCUUACUUCCCUCUGGGGAGAAAUGGAUGCCGUCCCUGCAUAAAAAGGAUCAGAGAGCAUAGCUUUCAGCCAAAAGCGAACUGAGAUACCAUGCACAAUUCCAGUUUAUCUAUUAUUAGGAUCAAACAUGUCUCGUCCAUUUUGGUGCUCACAACUGAUUGAGGGAAAACUGAAAGUGAGCUGAUUUCAGGCUCCGUUGCUUGCUUGCAUAGGGGACAUCGUUUGAUCAUGCACGUCAAGUUAGGAGGUCGUAACAAAGUCUAAUGAAUAGGUCUUGUUUGAAAUGUGGUGGAAUCUGAACAAGGGGUGUUCUCAACACAACAUUAACUAGUUGCAGCUAACCAAUCCUUGGACAUAAUCAGAUGAAUUAUUUGAGAAGCAAAUCAUACUAGUGAAAGCUCUGAUAUGAAGAGCUUCCGUUACCUAAAGAAAUUAAACACUGCCUCACAAACUAAAUUUGUAGUGGUUGGUUUCUGCAAUGCAAAACCAUUGCUAUUCUAUGAGCCCGUCAAUUGCUGAGAAAGGGGUGUUAUCAGUAAAGAGCACUGACACAGCUUUAGAGCCUUUCUUUAGAACAAGUUUAGAUUAAUUUUAGAAUGGUAUUGUGCUUUUUAUUUGAUAUGCAUAUACAGAAGUUUGAACUGGAAUGGUUGAGGUAACCCUGUUUAUUCUACUUUUUCUGCAUCUCUCAAUCCUUUUCAUGUGUUUCUAAGCAAACUUACGUAAAGCAUGCCGUAGCCCAAUCAUCCCUCUUCUGCAUUGCAGUCCACAGAUCAACAGCCUUGAUGUUCAUCUCCCCGCACAGCUUUAUACAGGCCUCCGAGUAUACUCGACACAACUCAUUUGUUCGCCUUAGUUCUUGAUUCUUAUCGCUGAUCCCAGGUAAUAAAGUUCUAUCAGAAUUCAACAGGCAAAACAGAGACUAAAAAGUAUGAGAAGUUCAAGAUAACACACCUCCAAGAUUCACGAAUUUUCUCCUCAUUGACAGGUGGAGCACUAAGAAAAAUGACGCGCGUACAAUCCGACAGGCUCUGCUAAGAAAGCAUGACAGCUUUAGAAUUUGUCUCAAGCAGAGGAAAAGAGAGAUUUUCUUUUUGGGAUAAUAAUAAAAGGCUCGAUGAGUUGUAUCACUUGAGCUCUACAGUUUAUUAGUUUACAUCAUGCGUUAGUCUACUCUCUGUGGUGAAAGUAAGCAUCAGUGCACAAUGGUGACUAUGAGAAACCUUGAAAAGAAUGUCGCUCUCAUAAGUCGCUCGCACCUCUUUGCUUAUGAUGCACUCGUUCAAAUCAUUCCCUAAUAUUGUCAUCAACAGACAAUUUAAUCAUCUAUUCUACCUUGAGAUAUUUGGCAAUCUUCCUCAUGUUCUCGACAUACUCAGGAAGCGGUACAUGAGAGCCAAGACCAGAUGGCUGAGGCCGCAUUGAGUCAUUUCCGCCGAAAUAGACGAUCACCAGGGAUGGUUGUGUGGCUGCAUCCUAGCAUUGAGGUAGUUACAGAAAUUUAGCCGCAGAUUCUUUAUUAAUUGACACUAGACCUAAAAAAUAAGAAACCUUGAUGAUCACGAGAUGUGAUCUUAAGAACAUAAACUAGACAUCCUCCACAAACAAUUGCUGCUAAAGCUUUUCAACAUGCAGCCCCAUCUGUAGACAAUGCUGAUGAGCAAACGAUGUAUCUACAAGCAAAAUACCGAAAAUGUAUAAUUUCAAGAAGGGCAGAAAAUAUUAAGAGCCCAAAGAUUUGAG